rnacentral:rRNA from 1 species
GAUGAACGCUGGCGGCGUGCCUAAUACAUGCAAGUCGAGCGAACGGACGAGAAGCUUGCUUUUCUGAUGUUAGCGGCGGACGGGUGAGUAACACGUGGAUAACCUACCUAUAAGACUGGGAUAACUUCGGGAAACCGGAGCUAAUACCGGAUAAUAUUUUGAACCGCAUGGUUCAAAAGUGAAAGACGGUCUUGCUGUCACUUAUAGAUGGAUCCGCGCUGCAUUAGCUAGUUGGUAAGGUAACGGCUUACCAAGGCAACGAUGCAUAGCCGACCUGAGAGGGUGAUCGGCCACACUGGAACUGAGACACGGUCCAGACGCCUACGGGAGGCAGCAGUAGGGAAUCUUCCGCAAUGGGCGAAAGCCUGACGGAGCAACGCCGCGUGAGUGAUGAAGGUCUUCGGAUCGUAAAACUCUGUUAUUAGGGAAGAACAUAUGUGUAAGUAACUGUGCACAUCUUGACGGUACCUAAUCAGAAAGCCACGGCUAACUACGU